GAUGAACGCUGGCGGCGUGCCUAAUACAUGCAAGUCGAGCGAACAGACGAGGAGCUUGCUCCUCUGACGUUAGCGGCGGACGGGUGAGUAACACGUGGAUAACCUACCUAUAAGACUGGGAUAACUUCGGGAAACCGGAGCUAAUACCGGAUAAUAUAUUGAACCGCAUGGUUCAAUAGUGAAAGACGGUUUUGCUGUCACUUAUAGAUGGAUCCGCGCCGCAUUAGCUAGUUGGUAAGGUAACGGCUUACCAAGGCAACGAUGCGUAGCCGACCUGAGAGGGUGAUCGGCCACACUGGAACUGAGACACGGUCCAGGCUCCUAAGGGAGGCAGCAGUAGGGAAUCUUCCGCAGUGGGCGAAAGCCUGACGGAGCAACGCCGCGUGAGUGAUGAAGGUCUUCGGAUCGUAAAACUCUGUUAUUAGGGAAGAACAAAUGUGUAAGUAACUAUGCACGUCUUGACGGUACCUAAUAAGAAAGCCACGGCUAACUACGUG
rnacentral:rRNA from 1 species